CAUGCAAGCCGAACGAACCUUCGGGUUAGUGGCGGACGGGUGAGUAACGCGUGAGAAUCUGCCCUCAGGAGGGGGAUAACAGUUGGAAACGACUGCUAAUACCCCAUAUGCCGAGAGGUGAAAUGAAUUUCGCCUGGGGAUGAGCUCGCGUCUGAUUAGCUUGUUGGUGGGGUAAUAGCCUACCAAGGCUUCGAUCAGUAGCUGGUCUGAGAGGACGAUCAGCCACACUGGGACUGAGACACGGCCCAGACUCCUACGGGAGGCAGCAGUGGGGAAUUUUCCGCAAUGGGCGAAAGCCUGACGGAGCAACGCCGCGUGAGGGAUGGAGGCCUUUGGGCUGUAAACCUCUUUUCUCAAGGAAGAAGAUCUGACGGUACUUGAGGAAUAAGCCACGGCUAAUUCCGUGCCAGCAGCCGCGGUAAUACGGGAGUGGCAAGCGUUAUCCGGAAUUAUUGGGCGUAAAGCGUCCGCAGGCGGCCGUUUAAGUCUGUUGUUAAAUCGUGGAGCUCAACUCCAUCACGGCAAUGGAAACUGUUCGGCCUGAGUAUGGUAGGGGCAGAGGGAAUUUCCGGUGUUGCGGUGAAAUGCGUAGAUAUCGGGAAGAACACCAGUGGCGAAAGCGCUCUGCUGGGCCAUUACUGACG
rnacentral:rRNA from 1 species